GACAGAUCUGCCCUUCUGUUAUCAGACACUGCUCUUUUGCUAUCUCAAUUUCAUAACAAUUACCUCUGCCUGAGCGCUAGAGGAUCAGCCACGUUGGGCAAAGCAGUCCUCUGAGAAAGAGAAUGAUGGAUGACAGAGCGAUUCCCUUCAACAUGACUGGGGCACUGAGGCUCCUGUUCAACUCUGGAUAUGCUGGAGAACCCCCGUUGCUCCUUUUCACUGUAACUUCAGCUAACAAAACUGUUCACAGAAAAGCAUUCCAAGGUUCUUGAGAAGGUUCUUCAGCAGUACUGAUGGGUGUUUCCCUAAAUGGCUCUGGGACCUCCUGGCCCUUUAUCCAAGUAGAGGGCACUGGAUCCUGUAAACUGGAAUUGGUACAUUGCAGCUCAAAGGGCCUAACAGCUUUAGCAGAUGGACUGAUUCUUUUUUUCCUCUGGACACUUGUGAUGUGGAAGAGAAGUCUGUACACCCGCUGACAGAGAGACAUCCAGCGCCUUGAGAAGACGCAAUCUGGCCGUGUGCAUUGUUAAUCAGAAGAUUUGCCAUAGGAAUCCAGAAACGCUGCCUUCAAGAGAACUGACUGUUGGCAUGUAAAAAAAAAGCACACCAGAGAAACCCUGAAGUUCUGAGAUGUAGUUGACUUUCUAAAUACAGGCAAGUUGCAAUUAAAAAACAGUUAUUUGGGGAGAGAAAUGCAUUCAAAAUACAGUUCUUUGGAGGGGGCUGGCAGGCACAUCACAAGUGAAACAAAUUAGUAAUGUGAGGAGGUAGCUAUGCUCAAGGAUUAACUAAUUUUGGACAGCUGUAGGAGCCAACCCACUGGGCUCUGUGCAUUGCCUCACUGUAACUAUUUAUCCUGCUCCUCUGGAUACCAGGGCAUCACAGAACCAGGCAUCUGAAAUGCAGCUUUCCCCUACAAAUGCAACUAAACCAGCUGCCGCAUUUUGCAGAGAUCCUGACACUGUAGUGCUGAGCUGCUCUCCAUCCCACUUGAUGGAAUCUGCUCACCUCAGCCUGUGUGUUGGGGUACGGCCAGUCAGUCAGGCUUUGCCAGUAUGGGGCUGAGCAUGGAGAAAUAUCCUUAGCGAUAUUUAUUGUAAAGCUGCUGAAAGGUGUCACAGUAGACAGCCUACACAACGAAACUAUCUCCUCCAAUUAGUCCAUGGUCAUCAGUGAGGUAAAUGUCUCUGCCUUCUGACCCAGACAGGGUGGAGUUUUAAUAACAGACAUAAAUCUGUUGUGCUUCUCUCCUCAUGACCUAACAUAUGCUGUCAGGGCAAUGCAUGCCUCAGAGAAGUAGAAUUUAUGUGUACAAUAAAACAACAGAGCUUCAGUGCUAUCA
rnacentral:lncRNA from 1 species